GGGGUAUGGUUGUUAUUGCAGGGUGUAGAGUCAGAUCAUAAGCCUGGCUGCUAAAUACUUUGUUUCUCUGACUUGAGCAUUGCACAUUUCUCAGCCAACCACAGGUCAGUUUCACCUUUGGCAGCUGUGCUCUGUCUGCAGGAGAGACAAGUAACAUCUGUUGUUCAGACUUUUGUUUCUGCACUCCCAGAUCCAUUCCUGACAGCACUUCCCUGGGACCACCACACGCCUCGGAUGGGGACAGUCCGGAGUGGGCAGGCGGACAUCCUCGCUGCAGAGGGGAACGCAGGUGAAACCUCCAUCUGAGCA